CCCUGAAUAGAAGUCUGACGGAGCACGCCGCGUGAGUGAUGAAGGCUUUCGGGUCGUAAAACUCUGUUGUUAGGGAAGAACAAGUGCUAGUUGAAUAAGCUGGCACCUUGACGGUACCUAACCAGAAAGCCACGGCUAACUACGUGCCAGCAGCCGCGGUAAUACGUAGGUGGCAAGCGUUAUCCGGAAUUAUUGGGCGUAAAGCGCGCGCAGGUGGUUUCUUAAGUCUGAUGUGAAAGCCCACGGCUCAACCGUGGAGGGUCAUUGGAAACUGGGAGACUUGAGUGCAGAAGAGGAAAGUGGAAUUCCAUGUGUAGCGGUGAAAUGCGUAGAGAUAUGGAGGAACACCAGUGGCGAAGGCGACUUUCUGGUCUGUAACUGACACUGAGGCGCGAAAGCGUGGGGAGCAAACAGGAUUAGAUACCCUGGUAGUCCACGCCGUAAACGAUGAGUGCUAAGUGUUAGAGGGUUUCCGCCCUUUAGUGCUGAAGUUAACGCAUUAAGCACUCCGCC
rnacentral:rRNA from 1 species